CCUACGGGUGGCAGCAGUGGGGAAUAUUGCACAAUGGGGGAAACCCUGAUGCAGCGACGCCGCGUGAGUGAAGAAGUAUUUCGGUACGUAAAGCUCUAUCAGCAGGGAAGAAAAAAAGUCCUUUGGACUUUGGACGGUACCGGACCAAGAAGCCCCGGCUAACUACGUGCCAGCAGCCGCGGUAAUACGUAGGGGGCAAGCGUUAUCCGGAUUUACUGGGUGGAAAGGGAGCGUAGACGGCAGCGCAAGUCGGGAGUGAAAUGCCGGGGCCCAACCCCGGAACUGCUUUGGAAACUGUGCAGCUGGAGUGCAGUAGAGGUAAGCGGAAUUCCUAGUGUAGCGGUGAAAUGCGUAGAUAUUAGGAGGAACACCAGUGGCGAAGGCGGCUUACUGGACUGUAACUGACGUUGAGGCUCGAAAGCGUGGGGAGCAAACAGGAUUAGAUACCCUUGUAGUC
rnacentral:rRNA from 1 species